rnacentral:rRNA from 1 species
UACGGAGGGGGCUAGCGUUGCUCGGAAUCACUGGGCGUAAAGCGCACGUAGGCGGCUUCUCAAGUCAGGGGUGAAAUCCUGGAGCUCAACUCCAGAACUGCCUUUGAUACUGAGGGGCUCGAGUCCGGGAGAGGUGAGUGGAACUGCGAGUGUAGAGGUGAAAUUCGUAGAUAUUCGCAAGAACACCAGUGGCGAAGGCGGCUCACUGGCCCGGUACUGACGCUGAGGUGCGAAAGCGUGGGGAGCAAACAGG